rnacentral:rRNA from 1 species
GAUGAACGCUAGCGACAGGCUUAACACAUGCAAGUCGAGGGGCAGCGGGGGAGGAAGCUUGCUUUCUCCUGCCGGCGACCGGCGCACGGGUGAGUAACACGUAUGCAACCUGGCCGUCACAGGUGGAUAACCGGAAGAAAUUCCGACUAAUACAGCAUAACACUCCUGAGGGACAUCCUUCGGGAGUCAAAGGAGGCGACUCCGGUGACGGAUGGGCAUGCGGCGCAUUAGGUAGUUGGUAGGGUAACGGCCUACCAAGCCGACGAUGCGUAGGGGUUCUGAGAGGAAGGGCCCCCACAUUGGAACUGAGACACGGUCCAA